AGUAGACACCCAUCUCCUUGCUGAGCUGUGGUUUGGUGGACUGUUUCUUUUGUGCUGAUGAAUGAGUUUCAUGUAACCAGUUUUUGGAGGUGGCUUGGUGACAGCAGAUGGGUGGCCAGCUGAUGGACAGCACUGGGCUGAUUUAUCUUUUUCCCCUGGCAGCCAUUACUUCUUACAUGCUCAGUGCUGGAGUUGCUAUCAAGCUGGAUAUCCCUGGGAACACUCCAGACCCUUGACCUUCUCACCACAGGAAAGGAGUGCAGGGGAAGGCUUGCUUCACCAACACGUGGGUUCACAACCCCAAACAGAAUGCCAGCAACAGAUAUAAGCAUGCUCUUGCUAAAUGCAAAAGACUAUAGAGGGACUGAUGGGUGGCAUCUGUGAGACAAUACUUCUCAGGAGAGAGGUGGGAAGGGGAAGGUGAAAGAUCCAUAACCUACUAUCACGUAGUGUUAUGAAGCUGUCAGUGGCCUCGGGACCCUGUAUCAGCAUGGACAGAGACUACAACUGAUGUUACACCAACAUUGCCUGCAAGGGAUGCCACAGCCAGGCAUGUCCCAUCUGCAAGCGAUGGUCCCCAGCAAGGGGAACCCUGCUUUGGGCCCAUCCCAUUGCCUCUCCUAACCUGUCUGUGAGUGUGGUACUGAAGGCUUUCAGACAAACAUCCACUGAAUCCUAUGACACUUCUCCCCCUUCUCAGCAAAAUCCAUGUGUGAUUCUCACCUGGAGGAAGUAAAGCCUGCAUGAGUGAGUCUAGAAAAGUUGAGGUUUGUUAAAAGCUUAGAUUCACAAGCACGUAUACACACACACACACAAAGGAGACAAGGGGAAAACCCUUCUGGCUCUCAAAGAUUGAAGUGUUUUAAAGUAUAGGGUUAAGUAAAAAUGCCUGGAGGACAUCUAUGAGCUUGGGGGCAUCACAUGAAUUGCAUGGGCAGCUCUAAGUGCCAACAUGUAGCCAUGCCAGCGCUGCUGGGUGCAUUUCCUACCAUGUGCAUGGUCAUUCCAGAGGGGCAUAGCUCCAUAUGGAACAGGGGCCUGGGGAUGGCCACCCCUAUGAAGGCAAGAUCAGCAUAUCUUGCUGCUCCCAUGCUUUGCUCAGGCACUUCUGCAUGGGGAUGGUGGAGGGACAGAGAGCCCUGCUAUCAGCAGGGGGGUGCAGUUGUGGUGCUGGUUGUGGGGUCACCUGGGGAAGGGACAGUGGUCCCUGAGGUGCUGCUGCCCGGUCAGGAGGGUAAAUUCAUGGGUAUGUGAGUGAGUGAGCGUUUGUGGCUUCUAAAGUGCAGUGCAGGUCAUAUGGUCUUUACUGUAAACUGUAAGCUCCUCAGGACAGAGCCCUUGUCCUUUUAUUUUUUUUCUGUGAAGUGAUGUGCCAGCCUAGAAACUCUUAACCCUAAAUAACAACAACUACUAUAGAACAUCAGGGGGUGGUGAGAAGGACAGUCUAUGCUUCCUGUGCCAGCACGGUGGGAGCAGAUGGGGAGAGCUUCCCAUGGCCCUUUGUGCUCCAUCCUCAGGGCCGUGGCAUGGUGCUUUGAGGAAGCACCCUCCAAACGAGGACCUCCAGAGCUGCAACCUGUCUCCCUCCAUGUGGGGCUUCCCUUGGCCAUUACAGGGAAGGUGUUGAUUCAGGUUCUGUUCCCAGGAGGGUCUCCCAAGCUUGCGUGCAUCUUGAAAAGGAGGUACCGAUGACAAAGUUGCAAGGAGGGAAUUUGAAGCCUCUUAUAUGGAGAGAGCUCCUUGGAGAAGCUGUGUUCAGCCUUACGCUUCCCACCAGAUCAGAGCCUUCCUGGGAUGAAAUUACUGUCAGUGAAGGGGCCCUUGCAGGAUGUGAUGUUCAUUCCCUCCUAGGUGUCUGCCUAGGGUGGAGAACCAGAAGCCACCCAAUGCCUUUUUAUUCCUUCAGGACACUGAUCCUCUAAAAGCUGCCAGAAUCAGCUACCAGGUCCAAGGCUCCUCCAAGACUGAGGAGAAGCUGGGUGCAAGGCUGGAUUGUGAACGCUGCCUGACUUCCAUAACCUUCACCAGACAUCAGCCAGACCAGCCUGCAGAGCCCAUGAGCACAGCGCUCUCCUAAUGUCCCUUUCCAGGUCAACUGGUGAUACCCAAGAGGUUCCUGAUGGGCCUCAGGCACUAGAGCCUCCCGUUACAUCUCUGAGCUGAGUCAAACCAGCUUAUUCUCUCUUUGGAUGACUCAAGCCUAGUUCAUUCGUACGCACACAGAGUAUGCUUCCCCCUGCUGGCAAUAUUUUGUUUAUUAUUUUUAAUCUAUGCCCAUAAAUUGGCAAGGAGGAGAAGGCAGAUAAAAUGGCAAGGGGAACCUCAGGAGACCGGUUGGGCUCAUUAAAUGUUUGGCACUCUGUGAUUAUCUGUUGGCAAUGAUAUGCCACUGCUAUGUUUUAACAUGGAACAUGAUACCUAAAUAUGCAGGGGAAUCUCCCCUACCCACUUUUGGUACACUUGAGAGACAGGAGGAAUUCAAUCAUCUGUGACCUGGAUUGUAUUUUUAAUGGCUGCCAAGCUAGAUAAAAUAUUUAAAUAUUCACUUUUAUAUCAGCCCACAUGGGGACUUGAGCAUUUCAGGUUGUAUAAUGCAGGGUGGCCUACUUUUGGUGUAUACAGAAAUAGGCACAUAUGUGCAAAAUACUGAGUGUGCAGCAUAUGGGUCAGCCAGCCAGCAUUAAUUAGUCCGGCACAACCAACUCCUGCAGCGCUAGCCUGGCCCAGACCCACCAAAGAGCUUGUGCUGGAUUUCAGAGGUGACCAGGUCAAAAAAUAUUGGCGUACGCCUGGAAUAAAGACUGUCCACCUCAGAGGUGGCUGAGACCCUCAAGCAAAGGCAUUGAGGAUAUUGCUCUGCCAGCAGAGCUGACCUUGCAGGAGUGGCUGCUGAAUGAUACCGGGGAUCUUGGUGCCAUCAGGUGCUGCCCAUCUGCCUUGUGAUGCUGCCAGGAGAGAGCUGGGGAGCAUGAGGGGCACUGCAAUCAGACCAGAAAUAGGUGCCCACAGCCCUCGCUGACUAUACAGGUUACUUGUUUACUGACUACAUAAGAAACCUGAGCAGAGAGCUCUAACACAGCACCUCACUGGGAGGCUACCUGUGGAUCAGCCCAUCUGUCCUAUCAGGACAGCUCCAGAGCAGCCAAGGCAGACUCAGCCCUUAGAAGAGCUGGGCUGUGAUGCCUUCUAACAACAGCGUUGCUGGGAGGCUUGCGGUCCUGCUGCCUUGCUUUGGAGUUGGGGAUGUGGAAGGGACUGGAAUCCCUUGGGGGUGAGGUGACAAUGGUGAGGAUGGUGUAGGGACAUGAAGGUGCAGGGAAAUGGGGGCAAGACCUGCUCCCUGCCACGAGGUCCCUGGCUCCUCUGCCAAUGUGACAGAUGUGCAGGGUAAGCAAGGUUGAGUGUGUGAUUGUCAAGUGCUUUGCCACACAAUGGCAUUGACCCUGAUAACAGCACGGGCUGAUGGCUGCCAACCUAAAGUCACUAUGGGGUCACCAUGAGAUGAUGAAAACACGAGCCUGCUGGGGUCACCCUCACCCAUCAUGUGCAACCGCAGCAAGACCUACCAGAGUCACUGCAUGCUUUCAUGUGGCAAAGCACAAACAAAGCAUGGGAAGAAGAGACCCAGCCUUGCAGGGGCACUGGGCCCCACUUCCCACCAUGGGGGCAGCCACUGACCCAAAGGCUGAGCCAUCCCCAUGUGUCCCUGAGCCCCUUCCCCAUCUCCACUCACUGGUGGGGUGCCCUGGCUCUGCUGCAGCACACAUCAGCCCCACAGCUGACCCUACAGCCCCAUCAUGAACACCUUGACAGGAAUGGCAGCUUCUCAUGUGAGGCCGUCACUCUUUCUAAAUUACCAAAUAACCAAUUUCUUUUCACAUAUGAGCAGUAUCACAAGUGCAUCUAUGUUAACAGUGUUCCUCAAUAAGUACUGACAGGUGACUGCCUAAAUGUUACUUCGAUUUUUUUUAUACAAGAUCUUCUUCAGAAUUGUUACAUGUCACAUCCCAGCCUUCCUGACAGGGAAAUCCCAUUGCGGGCAUGAAGGUGGCUCCCAACCUGGUGGAGUCACCAGGAUGGGGCCAACAGCCCAAGGACUUU
ensembl:lncRNA